rnacentral:rRNA from 1 species
GAUGAACGCUGGCGGCGUGCCUAAUACAUGCAAGUCGAGCGAACAGAUGAGGAGCUUGCUCCUCCGACUUUAUCGGCGGACGGGUGAGUAACACGUGGACAACCUACCUAUAAGACUGGGAUACCUUCGGGAAACCGGAGCUACUACCGGAUAAUAUAUUGAACCGUAUUGUUCCAUAGUGAAAUUCGGUUUUUCUUUCACUUAUAGCUUGAUCCGCCCCCCAUUAGUUAGUUGGUUAGGUAACGGCUUACCCAGGCAACGAUUGGUACCCGACCCAAGCGGGUGGUCGGCCACACUGGAACUGAGACACAGUCCAGACUCCUACGGGGAGACGCAGUAGGGAAUCUUACGCGAUGGGCGAGAGCCUGACGGAGCAACACCGCGUGAGUGAUGAAGGUGUUCGGAUCGUAGAACGCUGUUAUUAGGGAAGAACAAAUGUGUAAGUAACUAUGCACGUCUUGACGGUACCUAAUCAAAAAGCCACGGCUAACUACGCG